CCUGAGAAUCCUAAAAGUUCGAAAGGUGAGAUUCAAUGUCAGCUUGUAUCGUAUUCACGUGAGUAGCGAUGCGCGCACGUUUUCAUGUUUUUUUAUUGCUUUACAUUUGCCGGCGUGCACUUCUCAUCUAGUAGGACGUCCCGACCCGUUGGAUCUUUGCCUACGGCUCAGACUUCUAAUACUAUGUAUUGAAGACCUCUGAUAUUGAAGACCUCUGAAGUUCUCCUGGCUAAAGUAUCCGACGGGGUAUUAAGCCGCAUAUUUUUUAUGCGUCUAUGCGUCUGGCCUGUCGCAAGUUUAUAAGCAUACCGUAUCACUAUAGACUUAGUGCUAUGUGUAUGGACUGUGCUCUUAGACUGGCUUAUAUAUACCUGUCAGGGACGCUUAGGCUUUGGGCACUCUCAGGACCCGUCUUGAAACACGGACCAAGGAGUCUAACAUGUACGCGAGUCAUUGGGUAUAUAUUUUCCAAACCUAAAGGCGUAAUGAAAGUAAAGGUUGAA
rnacentral:rRNA from 1 species